rnacentral:rRNA from 1 species
AACGAACGCUGGCGGCAGGCCUAACACAUGCAAGUCGAGCGAGGACUUCGGUUCUAGCGGCGGACGGGUGAGUAACGCGUGGGAAUGUGCCCUUCUCUACGGAAUAGCCCUGGGAAACUGGGAGUAAUACCGUAUACGCCCUAUUGGGGAAAGAUUUAUCGGAGAAGGAUCAGCCCGCGUUGGAUUAGGUAGUUGGUGGGGUAAUGGCCUACCAAGCCGACGAUCCAUAGCUGUUUUGAGAGGAUGAUCAGCCACACUGGGACUGAGACACGGCCCAGACUCCUACGGGAGGCAGCAGUGGGGAAUCUUAGACAAUGGGGGCAACCCUGAUCGAGCCAUGCCGCGUGAGUGAUGAAGGCCUUAGGGUUGUAAAGCUCUUUCAGCUGGGAAGAUAAUGACGGUACCAGCAGAAGAAGCCCCGGCUAACUCCGUG